rnacentral:rRNA from 1 species
GGAAACGAUAACUAAUACCGUAUACGCCCUACGGGGGAAAGAUUUAUUGCUAUUAGAUGAGCCUAUAUUAGAUUAGCUAGUUGGUAGGGUAAUGGCCUGCCAAGGCUAUAAUCUAUAGCUGAUCUGAGAGGAUGGUCAGCCACACUGGAACUGAGAUACGGUCCAGACUCCUACGGGAGGCAGCAGUGGGGAAUAUUGGACAAUGAGCGAAAGCUUGAUCCAGCCAUGCCGCAUGAGUGAAGAAGGCCUUUGGGUUGUAAAGCUCUUUCAGUGAGGAAGAUAAUGACGGUACUCACAGAAGAAGUCCUGGCUAACUCCGUGCCAGCAGCCGCGGUAAUACGGAGAGGGCUAGCGUUAUUCGGAAUUAUUGGGCGUAAAGAGCACGUAGGCUGGUUAGUAAGUUAAAAGUGAAAUUCCAAAGCUUAACUUUGGAAUUGCUUUUAAAACUGUUAAUCUAGAGGUUGAAAGAGGAUAGAGGAAUUCCUAGUGUAGAGGUGAAAUUCGUAAAUAUUAGGAGGAACACCAGUGGCGAAGGCGUCUAUCUGGUUCAAAUCUGACGCUGAGGUGCGAAGGCGUGGGGAGCAAACAGGAUUAGAUACCCUGGUAGUCCACGCUGUAAACGAUGAAUGUUAAAUAUGGGGAGGAUACUUUCUGUAUUAUAGCUAACGCGUUAAACAUUCCGCCUGGGGACUACGGUCGCAAGAUUAAAACUCAAAGGAAUUGACGGGGACCUGCACAAGCGGUGGAGCAUGUGGUUUAAUUCGAUGCAACGCGAAAAACCUUACCACUCCUUGACAUGGAAAUUAUACCUAUUCGAARGGAUAGGGUCGGUUUGGCCGGAUUUCACACAGGUGUUGCAUGGCUGUCGUC